AGCAGCCGCGGUAAUUCCAGCUCCAAUAGCGUAUAUUAAAGUUGUUGCAGUUAAAAAGCUCGUAGUUGAACUUCGGGGUUUACCCAUUGGUCAGGCUUAAUUGUCUGUACUGGUGAGAUGAAUCUCUACCUUCUGAGGAACUUUCAUGCCAUUUAUUUGGUGUGAUUGGAAAUCAGGACUGUUACUUUGAAAAAAUUAGAGUGUUUAAAGCAGGCUAACGUCUGAAUACAUUAGC
rnacentral:rRNA from 1 species